CGAUCACUGUGCUGCUCGAGAGGUUUCUCUCAGUGAUAGCACAUCCACUAGAGCACCGGCCGUUACUGCUGCAUAGGAGGAAGUGGGGACAGGAGGAGAGCUGAACGGGAGAUACGGAGUGGGAAUACUCUAUAAGAGCGAGCCAAUCCCGGAGGAGGGACAGGAUUCUCGGAGGACUGGUUUCAUAGUAUGCUACUGUGCUCCACAGGGAAGGCUGAACAUUGGGACGUUUGACAGACAGGCACUCGACAGUGCACCUGCUCCACACUGGAUUGUUGGGUGGUGAUGUGGAGGUGCUGAGGUCUACAAUGGCUGGCCUGGACCUACACCUGCACGUGCUGAUACCCCCAUUUCAACGUUGUCGUCAUUACCUCCCAACCCAGCAACCCAACCCCAGGAUCUGACCCCGUCUCCCCCUCACCUCCCCUGGGCUUCCUCCAGCCAGGCCUCCUGGCUCUACCCUGGGCCCAUCAUGGGAGGAUGCCUCUCCAAAAGCAAACCAGUUGAGGUGAAAGUGGAGCUUACCCUCUUGGAGAAAGACAAGGAAGCAGAUGUGAUGUCACCCAAUGGAAAGGCAAGCCCCUUCUCUGACUGCAGGCCCAACGGAGCACUGGGACACUGCUCCGACGAGGAUGCCGCUGCCGCCCCCCUUAGGCUCUACAAACCCCGCGACUACGUGGAGGCCUCAGUGUGUCAUGUCAAGGACAUGGAAAAUGGACAGAUGCGAGAGGUUGAUUUGGGAAGUGGCAGAGCGCUGCUCAUCAAAGAACAUGGAGAGUUUUCUGCCAUUGGGCACAAGUGUCCACAUUAUGGGGCACCGCUGGUCAAAGGUGUCUUGUCCAAAGGGCACGUGCGUUGCCCCUGGCACGGAGCUUGUUUCAACAUCGCUACAGGAGACAUUGAGGACUUUCCUGGGCUGGACAGCCUGCCCACCUUCCAGGUCCGAGUUGAAAAGGACAAGGUGAUAAUUCGCGCUAAUAAACAGGAUCUUCAGUCACAGAAGAGGUCAAAGGCCAUGGCCCGAUGUUCAGCAGUAAUUAACUCCAGCACUGGCUUCAGCCACAUCCUCAUCGUUGGAUCAGGUCCAGCAGGGCUGGUGUGCGCUGAGACGUUGAGACAGGAAGGCUUCACCGAUCGCAUUGUCAUGUGCACCAUGGACAAAUACCCACCCUAUGACAGGCCUAAACUGAGUAAGUCCUUAGAGAGCACAGCAGAGCAGCUCCAGCUGCGCUCCAUAGACUUCCUCCAAGCCCAUGACAUCGAGCUGCUCACGGAGAAGGAGGCUGUGGCAGUGGACGUCAAGACGAAGGCUGUGACUUUUCAAGAUGGCUCUAGGAUGGAAUACAGGAAGCUUUUCAUUGCCACAGGAAGCAAACCCAAGCCAAUGAACUAUAAAGGCCAGGACGUUAGGAAUGUGUUUCACCUCAAGACCCCUGAAGAUGCUAAUAACGUUGCCAGGUUGGCCAACAACAAGAAUGCUGUGAUUGUGGGAACAUCAUUUGUUGGUAUGGAAGUGGCUGCUGCUCUCACCGACAAGGCCCACUCUGUCUCCAUCAUUGGGAUAGAAGCAGUCCCUUUCCGGAAAGCUCUGGGGGAGAAAGUAGGGAAAGCCAUAAUGAAGCUGUUUGAGAUGAACAGGGUGAAGUUCUACAUGUUGAAUGAAGUGUCGGAGAUGGUUGGCCAUCAUGGACAGUUGAAAGAGGUGGUUCUGAAGAGUGGGAAAGUACUAAGGGCGGACGUGUGUAUUAUUGGCACAGGGUCAGGCCCAGCCACUGGAUUCCUGAAACAGAGCGGAGUUCACGUGGAUUCCAAGGGUUUCGUCCCCGUCAACAAGACAAUGCAGACUAACAUUGAUGGUGUCUAUGCCGGAGGAGACAUUGUGACGUUUCCUUUUCCGGGGCGCAGCAAUAAGAAGGUGAACAUCCCACACUGGCAAAUGGCCCAUGUGCACGGGAGAGUGGCAGCGCUCGGCAUGAUGGGAAGACCCACUGAGAUCAAAACGGUGCCCUAUUUCUGGUCGGCCAUGUUUGGGAAAAGCCUACGCUACGCAGGCUACGGGGAGGGAUUUGACGAUGUCGUCAUACAAGGGGACGUGGACGAACUAAAGUUUGUGGCCUUUUACACCAGGUAGGUGUCCAAACACCAUCGUGGCUAUCUACUGAGAUGCUUUCAGCCAUCAGUCCUGGUUGUUUUGUAAAGAGUGAGGAGGUGGUUGCCGUUGCCAGCAUGAACUAUGACCCCAUUGUAUCCCGUGUGGCAGAGGUCUUAGGGUCCGGAAAGACGAUUAGAAAGCGAGAUGUGGAGACAGGGGACAUGUCUUGGUUGAUAGACAAAGGGUCGCAGUGAGCGAGCCUCCACGUCUCAGUGCGUCUGGGGUCUGUUGGACACUAGAAUAUGGACACUUUUGGUGCUGGUGAGAUGCCGUGUGGACAUACAGCAGCAGACCCCUGUCUGGGACUGUUGGAGUCACUCCCCUGGAAUCGAGACUGAGAUGGUUCUACAGAGAACGUCUACGGUGAUGGAUUACAUACUGUAUUCUUACCAAUAACAUGAGCCAUACACGGUUUUAACAUGCUCCAAUGCCGACAGUGUGGCAGACUGUGUGCUCAUAGCUAUGUUCUGCGAUUUCACAGUAAAGCAAUCCUGGAUGCAGUCUCUGUGCUUCUGCGUUAUGCAUCUACCUGUACACUUUGUUUAUAAAGGGCCGGAGAGGGGUGUUGAAUAUUUUUGUAUAUGCAACUUUGUAUAUAGUUAUAAUCCUCAAUACACUGUAACAAAACCGGGAUGUACAAUUUUAAACUGGAGUUUUCUAUGGUUGAGAUCAAACUAAUUUAGUUGAGUAUGCUCAUGUGGGCUAAAACAGACCAUGUACAGUAUCUGGUAGUUGAAAUAAUAGGAUUUAUUAUAGAUUGCUUCUAUAAAUUGGGGCUGAACAAAGACAUCGUUACCUAUCGAAGCCACACAAAAACAACGCUUAGGUUUGUCAGCUUUGCAUUUAGAUCUUCAACUGCAAUGUUUGCCUCCACCAUGCAAAUAUAAGAUAAACUACACCUAAUCCGUAGUUGCAGCAAUUGAAUGUCCCUUUCCCCACUUGAAGCGUACAUGCACGUGCACGCACACAUGAAAUCCUCACAAUAUGAUUACAAAUCAUUCUUUUAAGGAAUACAAUGCAUCCCUUUUUAUUGGUGGUGACCUUUGUUGCCUUGCUCAUACAGAUGCAGGAUCUUAAUUUGAUGCAUUUUUAGUUAGGGCAAAUCAAGUCUGAAACGUUUAAGUGGAAAUGUAAAACUUUUAGAAGCCUUUUUAAAAAUGGAAUACACUAGCUACAAGAUUUGCAUUUCCUGCAUCAGGGUGAUCAAAUUAAGAUACUACAUCUGUAGCUUGCACAAACGAGAAAUUGAAAUGUACUUUAAUCGAUGUUAAUGCUUGCGCAAUAGAAAAGGUAUGUCUGUGCUUUCUAACGAAACUUAAAUGACUGUUCUUUUAGAUAUGGUCAUGUAAUAUUUGCUGAAGGCUAUGAAUGCUCUUUGUUACUAACUCAGGGAACUGAAGUUCGAGGCCUGGUCACAUUGGGGUUGGUCCUCUGGCAAAAAAAAAAAUGUACUUGUUGCUUUUAUUUUCUUACCAUAUAUUGGUUCUCUGUAUUUGAAGAGGUCUUGUUUUCAGAACUUGCUUAUCAUUUCCUUAGAUGUGUAGAGGAGGAAGUAUUCCCAUCUCCAUUUUGGCAUGUUGGAAGAUUCCAAAAUACUUGAGCCCUGAGGUGAAAAACAAGACCACAUUUUAAAAGACCUUCUUCAUACAGAGAAGUUUAAAUGGUAGUUUUUUUUUUUAUAAUGGAAACUUUGAAAUAAAAGUCUUCAACAAUG